AUUGAACGCUGGCGGCAGGCCUAACACAUGCAAGUCGAACGAGUGGCGGACGGGUGAGUAAUGUCUGGGAAACUGCCCGCUGGAGGGGGAUAACUACUGGAAACGGUAGCUAAUACCGCAUACCAUCGGAUGUGCCCAGAUGGGAUUAGCUAGUAGGUGGGGUAACGGCUCACCUAGGCGACGAUCCCUAGCUGGUCUGAGAGGAUGACCAGCCACACGGGAACGGAGACAGGGUCAAGACUCCUACGGGAGGCAGCAGUGGGGAAUAUGGGACAAGGGGGGCAAGCCUGAUGCAGCCAUGCCGCGUGUAUGAAGAAGGCCUUCGGGGUGGAAAGUACUGUCAGCGAGGAGGCGUUACUCGCAGAAGAAGCACCGGCUAACUCCGUGCCAGCAGCCGCGGUAAUAC
rnacentral:rRNA from 1 species